AUUGAAACACCAGUUCUCAUACAAUCAUAGAAGUUAAACAACAUUGAGCCUAGUCAGUACCUAGAUGGUGACCUCUUGGGAAUACCAGGUGC